rnacentral:rRNA from 1 species
AGGGGAUUAGUGGCGAACGGGUGAGUAACACGUGGGCAAUCUGCCCUGCACUCUGGGACAAGCCCUGGAAACGGGGUCUAAUACCGGAUACAACCACUGGGGGCAUCCUCUGGUGGUGGAAAGCUCCGGCGGUGCAGGAUGAGCCCGCGGCCUAUCAGCUAGUUGGUGAGGUAACGGCUCACCAAGGCGACGACGGGUAGCCGGCCUGAGAGGGCGACCGGCCACACUGGGACUGAGACACGGCCCAGACUCCUACGGGAGGCAGCAGUGGGGAAUAUUGCACAAUGGGCGAAAGCCUGAUGCAGCGACGCCGCGUGAGGGAUGACGGCCUUCGGGUUGUAAACCUCUUUCAGCAGGGAAGAAGCGAAAGUGACGGUACCUGCAGAAGAAGCGCCGGCUAACUACGUGCCAGCAGCCGCGGUAAUACGUAGGGCGCAAGCGUUGUCCGGAAUUAUUGGGCGUAAAGAGCUCGUAGGCGGCUUGUCACGUCGGUUGUGAAAGCCCGGGGCUUAACCCCGGGUCUGCAGUCGAUACGGGCAGGCUAGAGUUCGGUAGGGGAGAUCGGAAUUCCUGGUGUAGCGGUGAAAUGCGCAGAGAUCAGGAGGAACACCGGUGGCGAAGGCGGAUCUCUGGGCCGAUACUGACGCUGAG